GCAGGAGCACUCCUACGGGAGGCAGCAGUGGGGAAUAUUGCACAAUGGGCGCAAGCCUGAUGCAGCCAUGCCGCGUGUAUGAAGAAGGCCUUCGGGUUGUAAAGUACUUUCAGCAGUGAGGAAGGUGGGUAUGUUAAUAGCAUAUUCAUUUGACGUUAGCUGCAGAAGAAGCACCGGCUAACUCCGUGCCAGCAGCCGCGGUAAUACGGAGGGUGCGAGCGUUAAUCGGAAUUACUGGGCGUAAAGCGUGCGCAGGCGGUCUGUUAAGCGAGAUGUGAAAGCCCCGGGCUCAACCUGGGAACUGCAUUUCGAACUGGCAGACUAGAGUCUUGUAGAGGGGGUAGAAUUCCAGGUGUAGCGGUGAAAUGCGUAGAGAUCUGAAGGAAUACCGGUGGCGAAGGCGGCCCCCUGGACAGAUACUGACACUCAGAUGCGAAAGCGUGGGGAGCAAACAGGAUUAGAUACCCUGGUAG
rnacentral:rRNA from 1 species